GAUAGUGACAAUACAAAUAGAAUCGUUAAAUGGCAAAAGUAAUUGCACGAGGGGAUUCUGGAACAUGCGGUAAGGUUCAUCCACCGUAGCAUCAAUUUUCCAAAAGACACCAGCCUGUUUGGGUUGAACAGCACACAGGUGAAAUUGGCGGGCCGGUGUUGGCAAGGGACGCCAUCAAAUCUAAUUUAUACAAGGCAGCGUAAGACCCGUUGGCCUCUCUCAAUCUUUGGGUACGGUUUGGUGGAUUACAAAUCGUUCCGGUUGCCGAUGCAGGCAGCCGGUGGCCCCCGCCAGACACGGACAACGUUUAAAGGUUUACGCUUGGCCCAGAAACGCAGCAAGCAGCCGGAAGGAAGGCGGUCUGCGAGUAGCAAAAUGGCGUCAGAUGGAUGACUCCAUUAAUUAGCAGAUGCACGAGGAAAAGUAAUCAUUGUUUCAUGGGCCACGAUUAUCCAGGUUCUGUCUCCGGUUAGAUGACCCGGAGGUUUCUAAUCCCGCAGACUGAUGUCGUAGCAGUUUCGAGGCUUUCCGUGUUUGCAAACGACAUCUCGUCCAGCUCAGCUAUCGCUGCUUCGAGGAGGUUCAUAAUAAAUUCAAAUUUCUCUGGCUCGAUGCCGGGAAAGAAACAUGGAUCCCGUAAGCCGCGAACCGAAAUGCAUUCAAGGAUGCAAAUAAAGCGCGGAAGACGAGCGACACUUGGGCCGAGAAGCUGCUAUUUUCCUACGAGCAAGACGGCUUAUUUAAAAACUUGGAACGUAACACGAGAAUCGUCCAUGGGAAAUAGAAAAGUUACACGGUUCAGACGGCUAACGACUGUGAAUCAGCAGAGGGAUGGUGCGAGGGCGGAAGUGCAGUAGGAAACAGGAAGCCCUGGCUUUUAUGGCCGGUUGUAAACUAGAAGACGGUCUAAUUAGAAAAUUAACCGAGUUUCGACAACGCCCACAAGAAGCAUUCCGCUUAUGCGUUGUCGAGGGAGUUUUCUGCAUAGAUUACGUUGAAAUGCGCACGCCGGAUGUAUUACCGUCUGGUUAACUGCUUUGAAUACACCAGUGACUAUGACUACAAAAAGACUGAACAUGUCUUUAUUCUCGAAAAAUAAAUAAUUGUUUGAAAAAUUUGUAGUCACUUCAUGUGUUUUGGUAAAUAAAUCAUUUUAGAAAAGCAACUGAUUUAUUAUUUAAUUUAUCCAAUUUCCUUUACCCAAAUCAGACUUAAAUUACAACACAGUAACUACUUCCCAAUAUGAGAAAUUGCACCUAGAGCGAGGUGAAACCUAGUCACUCUUUACCCGACCGCCGAGAGAUGUGGGUCUACCUGUUAAACAUACAUAUAGCCUUAUUUUAUUUUGUGGGUUUAUUUAAUAUGCUGUAUUUACCUUUUUAGCUUAUUGAAUAAACCCAUUAGGGGGAUGAACUUCAAGGUUUUAUUCCUCCUGUGUGCCUAGUCUCACUAUCCUUUUAUUUACUAUUUUACUUCUAUUUGAGAGCUUCGCGGGGACCACCCUGUGAAGUCCUUUAUCACUUUACUCCCCGUUAUGGGACUCGCUACAACCACCCCCAAACCACCCGUAUCACUUGUAUGCCUGUAUUCAUGCAUCUCUUAUAUCCCUACAUUCCUUAUACCUCCGUAUUCGUUAUAUUUCUGCAUCUCUUGCAUCCCAGAAUUUUUUGUCUCCCUGCAUCUUUUACAUCUCUGCAUCCCUUAUACCUCUGCAUUAGAUGUCACCAAGCCUUCCAUCGCAACAUUCUUUGUAUCUCCACAUCCCACCAUCGCUGCAUUGCGCCCUCUAGCGGCAAAAAUGUGAACUAAAUUUUCGAUGUCGAA